rnacentral:misc_RNA from 1 species
GUGAAUCAUCGAAUCUUUGAACGCACAUUGCGCUUCCUGGUAUUCCGGGGAGCAUGCCCGUUUCAGAAUCAAUAAAAACCUCACCUCACCUUGUUGCUUUCGAGCCUCGAGGCGCGGUGGAUGUGGACUUUUUGCCUUGGCAAUUGUCUGAAAUUCAUUGUUUGUGCACCCGUUCAUGCGUCUUUCGGUUGUCCAAGUGCAACAAGUGGCUUGAUCCAUUUUCGCUUCGACAGCCGCUCGACCGUCCGGAUGCGCUUGCUCAUCUGAAAUCGCGGAGGCUUCAAUCGGCUUGAUUGGGGU